CGAUAGGUAGGGCCGGGUCGUUUGGCGCGACCUGUCAUCGGCAAAUGUCAAUAGCCGAGGCCAGUAACCAACAUCGAGGAUGAACCGGAAAGUCGUUAGGUCCAGUUGCAGGACGUUGACGUGUGGUCUCUGGAGUCUGUUUCGGACAUACCAGCAUUCGUAGGUCUGCUGUGAUUGUCAUAAACUUUCGAAAUGGGUCAGGCACGGGAGUGAACAGCCCUAAGGAAGAGAGGUGGAGCCCCAGAGGUGGCCGCAUUGAGAAUGGCACUGAUCCGCCUUUCGAUUACCGACAUUCGGAAUGAAGGAGCUGUCG
rnacentral:SRP_RNA from 1 species